UUGGUCGCGGAUAGUUCCCGAGUUGCCGGGAAGUUCGCGAGAAGUGCGACUCGUUCUUUUCCCCGAAAGAAAGACGAAAGGGAGGCCUUCGUCGGCGGGUCGAGUCUCGAGGCGAUCUGCCGGCGGCACGGGACGCGACUCGCCUCGACGUUCGGAAACGGUAAGGCGGAUCGAUCGAGGAGCACCGAAGAAAAAUGGAUCGCGGAGGUGCGACUCGCGUUUCGGACAGCGACGUGAGGCGCCGUCGGGAGCCGAUCGCGCGAGCCUCGGCUCGGUUCCGUGCCAAAGUAUUUUCCGAAGGAAACGAGUGCCAAAGAAUUCCGGGGCGAGCCGACCGCUGCCGGAGGAGCCGUCGAUAAGCGAGUCGACCGUGCGGAACGAGAAGAGGAGCGAGAAGAGCCGGAGCGAGACGCGCGAAGGAUGAAACCGGCCGUUCCAUCGAAGAGGAAGCGAUCGUGGUAGGCGGAGGGCGGCAUAGACGUGGAUCGGGCUGGAUCCGUGUCGAUCGGUGUAAUGGUCUCGGGGUGGUGUCCGUGCGUGCCACUCGGCCGCCGGGAAUCAUCGGUCCAGCAGCAGUCGGCCUCCUCGUCGAGGUGUUUCGGGAACGACGGUGCACCGUUCACCGUCAGCGCCGCGACGGAUCACGCAGAGAUGGUCCAGAUGUUCUACUACGAGAAUCGCGGCAAAUGUUGCAAGAAGCUGCUCCGGUACAACGGAUAUCCCAACAAGGUGCUUCUGUUUCCGGAGGAGGGCUGGGCGAGAAGCGCGAGUAGUUCCUACUGGACCUUGACGCCGUUCUGGUGGAGCCGAAGCCGGUGCAAGGUCGUCGAAGUCGCUGGGACCAGGAGGUACAGCACUCAAGCGAAAAUGGUGGACACGGGGACAGGCACGCUCUACAUUAUCGGCUCUUUCAAGAGGAUGACGACCGAUCCCGAUUUCAAGUUGUACCUGACAUCGAACGUUUCGUCGAGCGACUUCAACAUGGGGUACAGUAUGACGGGCACGCUGGAGCGCGGCUGCAAAAAGACCAACACCUUCCAAAUGACUCACUUCGCGGUGAUUCGCCGGCGGGACUACGAAAAGGCCUACGAGGAUCCGAACACCACCUAGUGUCCGUCCACGCCCACGCUGUCCGAGCGUGGGGAUUGCGAGCACUACGCGUGAAAGGGAAAGGAUAAUAGGAUAUGCGAGAGCGGCGCGAUCCGCUCCGCGCGCCGCCAUCGCCGCCGCGAUUCGAGCUUAGGUGUGUUGCGCGGCCCACCGUUCGCCGGCAACCUACGCGGAACGAAUAAAUCGAGCAGCGGGUCAACGAGAGCACGCGAACAAAAAAGCAAAAGUGAAACGUCCAAAGGUAGUAUUUAACAUAGGUCGAAUGAAAUAAUAAUAAUAAUAAUAAUAAUAAUAAUAAUAAUAAUAAUAUUAAUAAUAAUAUUAAUAAGAGUAUUAACGAUAAUGGUAACGAUAUGAUAGUUUGUAAUUAGCGACGAACGAUACCUAAAUCGAGUAUACAAAGCUACGGUGAUCGAGAAUGCCAAAUGAUUUUCCAAAGUAUUAGCACGUAAGGUCGUAAAAUUGAAGUUAGGCGACGAGUAAGCAGCGAGACUCGCUACGGUUUCCUACGCGCCCUCCUCUCGCGACGCGCGCUGCUUCUCGUCUACCGUUCGCGCGAAACAUCUGAACGCAAUCUACCCGAAUUACGGACGGUAGUUUGUAGCGUGGCUGGUUCGCGCGAGGUGUCUCGAGCUUGGCUUAUGCCCUUACGGCUUCCGCGAGCUUGCCGCGCCAUCGCGGACGUCAAACCGCCGCGCGGUGGCCUGGAAACGGAGGAACCCGGACGGAAUUCAUCGUUUUUGUUGCGUUCAGUUUUGCGCGUCAAGGGGAAUAUAUCGCUGUAACUUCCAGCGUCGCGAGUUCUUGCUAACAUUUUUUACACGGGCAUCUUCGCUGGGAUGUAACAAAUGGUUUCGUACAAUAUUCGUCGUGUUUCAGUGCGAUCCGGAUACACGUGAACGUAAUUGGAGCGGAGAAACGAGAUGAAAUCAGAAGAGUUGCGAUUGAUCUGUUUCUUUCGAAUUGCGCGUAUAGACCAAAGAAUGCUCUUACUCUUAAUCAAAACGAAAGAAAGUACGCGAGUCUCAAAUAGAAUUCCGCUACAACCUACAUUCCCCUAUCUCCGAAGCUUCAUUUCAUUUUACACAACUGUCCAGCAAUUCGAACCGUAUCACCAGCCAUAUACAUGCGACAACAACGAAUAGAGAAUUUGAAUUUCUUCCGGGUCCCAACGAUUCCGGCCAGCCGCGCGCCGCCACCGCUCAAACCAACGAAUCGCUCGCUACGGUAGGCGCGAGAGAGAAACGUAAACUUCCGCCGCGAAGUUUCGCGGGAUCGUCGUGAAUCGGUGCAUAGCGAGCGCGAUACUUAUUUUUCUUAACGAGUAGGGAAAGUCGACCGCGUCACGACGCGUCCCGAUGCGUCCCGAUGGAGCGACGUUUGAUCCUUCGUGGGUCGGCUCGACCCGCCUCGAGUCGGCCAGACGACCGAUCGGAACCAGCGUAAUCGCCGUUUAGAGGAUUUUUGUACUUUCGGCUUUGCUCAAGGGCGUGUAGAACGCCGACAAACGGAUUAAGACAUAGGAUUAAGGCGCGACAUCGUAGAUCAUAAACACACGCAUACGUACAGUGCGUCACUGACGCGAGUCGAUACGAUCUUUCACUCGAAAGCGAAGAGAAGCGAGGGGACCGAUGGCCGAUCGAGACCGUGCGUCCGAAAGCCGAGCGCUGCGAGAGUCUCCCCUCGAUCCUCUUCGGUUUUGAGCCGCAGGACGACUCGGCUCGCGCGAGUAACGCGUUCACCGUAGAUGCUCGGCGAUCGGCGAAACGCGCGGCUCGUAAGUAGCACUUACCAACGGCCGCCGAUCGAUCGUACCUCCGUAGCUACGCGGUACGCGCAUUUCGAUGGUCGCUCGGGGCAACGGUGUACCCGCUAGUUGAAACGAUAACGAACAACGCUUCCCGUCUCUUUCCCGAUCUCUCUGUAUCCGUCUGUUUCCGCCAUUCCGUGCUCUCCUAGUCUGUCCAUCAGUGUGCAGCGACGUUCAGAAGGGCGCAGAUCGUUUUUGGAAUUGAGUCCGUGCCACGCCGACUCGCCGCUGUCGAGGAGUAUGAACAUUAGAUACUGAGCGCAAUACGUAAACACGUUAAACGCCACGGAAAUGACCAUUUUUCUGUAGUUACCCUUUUCAGCAAAGUAGCAAGAAUCAUUCACUUUUUUUCAAUCGUUGCAUUACACUAUUAUCAACUUACGUUACUAAACGUUUUGAUUUGACAUUAUUAUACAUGUUACGGUUGUUUCCAAGUAAUUCAGAAGCGUCAGCCAUCGGUAACUAACGUGGCAUUUAACGUGUUAAAUAUGCUAGAAAACUUUGAACAUGCUGAAUUACUUCUAAAGACACAUAUAUAAAGAAUAGAUGUGGACUUCCUUACAGUACCCUCUCUUACAAUGUGUCUUUUAUAUAUCAGAAUAAAAAAGAGUCCUGAAAGCUUUCAUUGUGCAAGCUAGAAACCUUUGAAUGUGCUAAAUUACUUAUUUCUAAAGAUACAUGCAUAAAGAAUAGAUGUAGACUUUCUUACAGUGUCUCCUGCAGUGUCUUAUAUAUCAUAAUAGCAGUCCUUGCUUUCACUGUGCAAGCUAGAAACCUUUGAAUAUGCUGAAUUAUUUCUGUGUAUGUAUAAAGAAUAGGUGGAGUUGACUCUUACAGUAUCUUCCCCUGCAAUGUGUCUUUUAUACAUCACAAUAGCAAAGAGUCUAAAGCUUCCAUCGUGUAAGAGCCAAGAACGAUCUAGCCAGGAACUUCUGAACGCCACUGUAUCGUCAAGAGAUCGAUGAGGAUCUCUCCUAGUCUCUCCAUCAGUGUGUUCAACGAUUCUAUCGCUUCUUCGUCCAUGCACUCGCGUCCCCUAAGUCCAUAGCGCCCUCUCUGGAUCGGCAGGUAGAAUUUCGUCUAAACAGUGUCCCGUUUAGUCGAGCUCCCUUAUGCAUUGUAGACUCUAGAAACAUAGAAACGGUUUAGUUGGUUCCAAAGCGGUUGAACAAAGUUUUCGAGCAACUCGUUCGGUGUUGUAGAUGGUGUAGACAUUACCGUAGAUGGUUGAUCGUAGAAACGCAACGCUUCGUUCGACGCAUAGCUCUCUGUAGUGGUGUCUCCUUAGAAACAUAGAAUUGUUACGUACCGUAACGCACCGAAGGCACCCGAGACGAUUAACACGUUCGCGGACAGUAAAAAUAGUUAAUGAGCUGCAAAAAUAGACGAAACGCAAAUUUAGUUCUCCAAGAGUCAAAGACGGUGACAAUUAAAAAAAAUUAAGGUUAUGUAGGGUCGAAUGCGUAAUAAUGUUGCUUAUAAAUUUGAAUGUUAGCAUCCAAGUCUACAGCAUUCGCGAAAGUACUCGGGUCCUUCGAAUCUACGUACACCUGACCCUCGAUUUACGCGGGAAUCCGUUGCACGUGGGUUCGUUUCACGCGAACGAGAAUCGCGUAAAUAGAGCCUGUCGGCACAAGAGAAAAGCUGGUGUAAGUUCUAGAAAUACAUAUUUGGUUCACGUAGCUUAAUGAUAGAAAUAAUAAUCACAUUUUAUUCGCUGUUGCUAAAUUCAGAUCGCAUAAAUUGAGAUCGCGCGUAAAAAAGAGGCUCACGUGAGAAAAGCCCGCGUAAACCGAGGGUCAGAUGUUGUUUAUACUCGUAGAGCUCGCGGUAGAUUGAUAGAUAGAUACUCUCGUCCUGGAUAGACGCUUGUCGACGCAGUUUCGGUGUUUGCUUCUUUUCGGGUAGCCGAUGUCCUAGUUCGGUAGGCAGUAGCGGUUUAAGUGAACGUACACGUCCGAUAUCACGGUCCCUCCUAACUACUUAGCCAUAGCUUCGAUCCACGGCUGCACGUUCCCCUCGAAUCGGAAGACGAGCGACGUCGAUCUCCGCCGGUCUCAACGUGCAACGGGUCUGUCUCUAGUCUGUUCGAAACCGUUCGCGAUCGUCACUUCCGUUGAAAUCGACGCUCGACCGUUAUAGAAUCGAAACUCGAUUCAACCGGGAAGAUCGGACGCGACGGGAAUCACUAUCCUCCGAACGUAGCGAAAUUAUAAUCGUAGAGUGUUGUAUUAAUGGUCGUAGAGAAGUGAAGUGAAACCAAAAAAAUUGAUUGUCGUCGGUGUCGUUAUCGUCGUUGUCCUAGUUGUCCACGUACCGUAGCGACGGUAUCCGGUCCGGUUCCGUUCCACGACGAGAUAAAUCGUUCGGCGCCGUGGCAGGACGAGUCCGGACGGUAAAAUUUAUUUUUUAUAGAAGUCACGGGACGCCGAUCCACGCGAGUCGAGGCGAAAUCGUGGUCGUCGUGACGGAACGGCCCCGCGGAUACCCGGUUUCGAUAGAACUCGAUAAUCGAGAGUGUAGCGAAAGAUAAUCGGUCUUGUUGUAGCGAGUAGGCGCGUUCGAGUGGCGCUUUAGAUUAGCGAAGUGGGGCGUUAUCGACGGUUCGAGAUCUCGAUAGUUUCGACGCGUCGAAGAUGGAGGACGGAACGUCACCGGGAUGUCUCGGAUCGUCGAGCGACGGUUCCCCUCGGUGUAGAGAAGUAGCGGUGUAGAAAACGCGAUAAUCGCUUGAACGAGCAUGCCGAAUGUAAUAGAUAGACACACGCGUGAUUCGCUUCCUCCUUGCGUUAGUUCCGUCUCGAUCGAAAAAGUUCUGGUUAUCGGAGAAGAUACGAAUACUCUUUUCUCGUUCAGUGUGUCUCGUGCAACAGUUUCACUCGUAUCUCGUUGUAAUCGAUGUUGUGUGUGUGUGCGUAGCCGUUAGUUGACGAUAUAACAAUACUCGUAGGAACGUCCACAUUUUAUCCCUACUGUUCGCGCGAAACAUGGUAUUAUUCAUCGUAAUCGUAUCGGUAAUACGAAGGAGACAUUCGUAUUCAAAGCUAUGGCUGUGAUCCUACUUAAUCGUGGAACGGUUCGUAAAAAGUAUAUACAUAUACAUAUACAUAUACAUAUACAUAUACAUAUACAUAUACACUAUAUUAUAUUAUAUUAUAUUAUAUUGUAUUAUAUUACAUUGUAUUGUAUUGUAUUGUAUUGCAUUAUAUUGUAUUAUAUUAUAUUAUAUUAUAUUACAUUACAUUACAUUACAUUAUAUUAUAUUAUAUUAUAUUAUAUUACAUUAUAUUACAUUACGUAUAUACGUACACGACAUACAUGGUACAUACAGUGAAUCGAUUACGACCGGCGUGUCGAUAGAUCGAAUCGAUAUUUUGCCAAACGCUCUCGGUUCCGCGAAUUUCGCUUUCUGUUCCCGUCGAAUCCGUUGAUCCCCGUUCGAAAGGGGAACGCGUUUCGUUUUCCUAACCGGUGCGAACGACCCAACCGUCGCGCGCACCCUCCACUGAAAUCGGCGGAUCAAUUUCGGCGAAACGAUUCUCGCGGAGUGGCCGGUCAAAAUCAAAAGCUCGCGGAGUGGCGAAGUGUCCCCGCGACAGUCCGGAGAAUCAAACAUCUUUUUCGUAACCUGUAAUCGGCCGCGUUCGAGGAAACGCGUCCGUGGACCGAUUUAUUUACCCCGACGCAGUUCUCCUCCUCCCCCCGUUCCCCCCGCGCGUCCGCGGAACGGGGCACGCGCGACAUCGUCGCCGAAACGAUAUCUCGCGGCGAUCUCUCGCGUCCAGACGAUUCUCGCCGCGAAUCGUGGAUCGCGAAUCUCGCGGGAACGAGCUGCGCGCGCCGUCUCUCUCCUCCGGGAGAUCGUCGCGGCGAUCGAGACUGCCGGGAUUAGACGAAGCAAAUCGAGUACGGAAACUGGUGCGGCAUACGCAUUAGUGUAUUUUCACUACUACAGUCCUGUCUACAGUCAAUUCAUUUUGUAUCUACACCUAACCUAUAGGAUCCGGGCUGCGUUGUCAACGGAACAUCUCGACGCUCAUCGCCGCUGUCUCGAGCUCGAUGUAACGUGAUCCCGGUAGCAGGGACGGAGAAUGAAUACAAUGGCCGGAGUUUCCUUCACGGCGUUCGUCUAUCCUGCUCCAGGCUGUGCUCAGUUCAGACAGUAAAAGACCUGCCAGAAUUUUAACGCUGAGCCCGGAACCUUAAAAUUUAAGCGAGCAUCACUAUACAGCAGUGUUUUAAUCGUUCGCAAGUCCUCCACCUCCUCAACCCUUCUCAACUAUCCAACGACGGAAAACAGGAGCGGAACGACGUCGUUGGGAAAGUUAGCCGAGGAACACGAUGCCUGGCAAAUGUUCAGUCCUUGGGACAUUUCAACAGCAGCCGAUCCGUGCGUCUCCGACGCACAGUGGGGUGAAUCCCCUAAUGUGGGAAGUAAACUUAUGUCGAGUCUUCGCAAAAAUAUGGGAAUGGAAAGCUCAGUUUCCGAGUGCCCAAGGAUAAAAAGACGAUCAGGACAUUAUCCCUCGCACAGCCGGCUACCCCGAAUACCAGACAUUUCAGGUAAAACGUUGAAAAUUCACUCUUGACCGGCCGGAUCGCGCGAAUGCCUCGCU